rnacentral:rRNA from 1 species
UACGGGGGGGGGCAAGCGUUGUUCGGAAUUACUGGGCGUAAAGGGCUCGUAGGCGGCCAACUAAGUCAGACGUGAAAUCCCUCGGCUUAACCGGGGAACUGCGUCUGAUACUGGAUGGCUAGAGAUUGGGAGAGGGAUGCGGAAUUCCAGGUGUAGCGGUGAAAUGCGUAGAUAUCUGGAGGAACACCGGUGGCGAAGGCGGCAUCCUGGACCAACACUGACGCUGAGGAGCGAAAGCCAGGGGAGCAAAGCGGG